rnacentral:rRNA from 1 species
GAUCCUGGCUCAGGACGAACGCUGGCGGCGCGCCUAACACAUGCAAGUCGAACGGAGCUUAAAGAGCUUGCUUUUUAAGCUUAGUGGCGAACGGGUGAGUAACGCGUGAGUAACCUGCCCUGGAGUGGGGGACAACAGUUGGAAACGACUGCUAAUACCGCAUAAGCCCACGGCCCGGCAUCGGGCUGCGGGAAAAGGAUUUAUUCGCUUCAGGAUGGACUCGCGUCCAAUUAGCUAGUUGGUGAGGUAACGGCCC